ACACGAAGCUGGAAUCGCUAGUAAUCGCGGAUCAGCACGCCGCGGUGAAUACGUUCCCGGGCCUUGUACACACCGCCCGUCACACCAUGAGAGUCUGUAACACCCAAAGCCGGUGGGAUAACCUUUAUAGGAGUCAGCCGUCUAAGGUAGGACAGAUGAUUAGGGUGAAGUCGUAACAAGGUAGC
rnacentral:rRNA from 1 species